CAAAAGAAGUGAAAACGCCCUGCCCCGCCUUAACUGAUGACAUUCCACCAUUGUGAUUUGUUCCUGCCCCACCUUAGCUGAGUGAUUAACCCUGUGAAUUUCCUUCUCCUGGCUCAGAAGCUCCCCGACUGAGCACCUUGUGACCCCCGCCCCUGCCCACCAGAGAACAACCCCCUUUGACUGUAAUUUUCCAUUACCUUCCCAAAUCCUAUAAAACGGCCCCACCCCUAUCUCCCUUCGCUGACUCUCUUUUCGGACUCAGCCCGCCUGCACCCAGGUGAAAUAGACAGCCAUGUUGCUCACACAAAGCCUGUUUGCUGGUCUCUUCACACUGACUCGAGUGAAAUUUGGUGCCGUGACUAGGAUCGGGGGACCUCCCUUGGGAGAUCAAUCCCCCGUCCUCCUACACUUUGCUCUGUGAGAAAGAUCCACCUACAACCUCAGGUCCUCAGACCAACCAGCCCAAGAAACAUCUCACCAAUUUCAAAUCCGGUAAGCGGCCUCUUUUUACUCUUUUCUCCAGCUUCCCUCACUGUCCCUCAACCUCUUUCUCCUUUCAAUCUUGGUGCCACACUUCAAUCUCUCCCUUCUCUUAAUUUCAAUUCCUUUCAUUUUCUGGUAGAGACAAAGGAGACACGUUUUAUCCGUGGACCCAAAACUCCGGCGCCAGUCACGGACUGGGAAGGCAGCCUUCCCUUGGUGUUAAAUCACUGCAGGGACGCCUCUCUGAUUAUUCACCCAUGUUUCAAAGGUGUCAGACCACGCAGGGACGCCUGCCUUGGUCCUUCACCCUUAGUGGCAAGUCCUGCUUUUCUGGGGAAGGGGCAAGUACCCCAACCCCUUCUCUCUGUGUCUCUACCCCUUCUCUGCUUUUCUGGGGGAGGGGCAAGUACCCCUCAACCCCUUCUCCUUCACCCUUAGUGACAAGUCCUGCUUUUCUAGGAGGCAAGAACCCCCAAUCCCUUAUUUCCACACCCUGACCUCUUAUCUCUGUGCCCCAAUCCCUUAUUUCCACACCCCAACCUCUUAUCUCUGUGCCCCAAUCCCUUAUUUCCGUGCCCCAACCCCCCUUCCCACUUUUCUGGAGGAUAAGAACCCCCGAACCCCUUCCCUCCGUGUCUCUAUGCUCUCUUUUCUCUGGGUUUGCCUCCUUCACUAUGGGCAACCUUCCACCUACCAUUCCUCCUUCUUCUCCUUUAGCCUAUAUUCUUAAGAAUUUAAAACCUCUUCAACUCUCACCUGACCUAAAAUCUAAGCAUCUUAUUUUCUUCUGCAAUGCCACUUGACCCCAAUACAAACUUGACAGUAGUUCCAAAUAGCCAGAAAAUGGCACUUCCAAUUUUUCCAUCCUACAAGAUCUAAAUAAUUCUUUUCGUAAAAUGGGCAAAUGGUCUGAGGUGCCUGACAUCCAGGCAUUCUUUUACACAAUAGUCCCUUCCUAGUCUCUGUGCCCAGUGCAACUUCUCCCAAAUCUUCCUUCUUUCCCUCCUGCCUGUCCCCUCAGUCCCAACCCCAAGCAUCGCUGAGUCUUUCUAAUCUUCCUUUUCUACAGACCCAUCUGACCUCUCCCCUCCUUGCCAGGCCAAGCUACGUCCCAAUUCUUCCUCAGCCUCCGCUCCUCCACCCUGCAAUCUUUUUAUCACCUCCCCUCCUCACACCUGGUCCUGCUUACAGUUUCAUUCUGUGACUAGCCCUCCCCCACCUGCCCAGCAAUUUACUCUUAAAAAAGUGGCUGGAGCCAAAGGCAUAGUCAAGGUUAAUGCUCCUUUUUCUUUAUGCCAAAUCAGAAGUGUUUAGGCUCUUUUUCAUCAAAUAUAAAAACCCAGCCCAGUUCAUGGCUCGUUUGGCAGCAACCCUGAGACGCUUCACAGCCCUAGACCCUAAAAGGUCAAAAGGCCAUCUUAUUCUCAAUAUACAUUUUAUUACCCAAUCUGCUCCUAACAUUAAAUAAAACCCCAAAAAUUGGAAUCUGGUCCUCAAACCCCACAACAGGACUUAAUUAACCUCACCUUCAAGGUGUACAAUAAUAAAAAAAAGUUGCAAUUCCUUGCCUCCACUGUGAGACAAAGCCCAGCCACAUCUCCAGCACACAAGAACUUCCAAACCCCUGAACUGCAGCAGUCAGGCAUUCCUCCAGAACCUCCUCCCCCAGGAGCUUGCUACAAGUGCCAGAAAUCUGACCACCAGGCCAAGGACUGCCGGCAGCCCAGGAUUCCUCCUAAGCCACGUCCCAUCUGUGUGGGACCCCACUGCAAAUCGGACUGUUCAACUCACCUGGCAGCCACUCCCAGAGCCCCUGGAACUCUGGCCCAAGGCUCUCUGACUGACUCCUUCCCAGAUCUUCUCGGCUUAGCGGCUGAAGACUGACACUGCCCGAUUGCCUCGGAAGCCCCCUAGACCAUCAUGGACGCCGAGCUUCAGGUAACUCUCACAGUGGAAGGUAAGCCCGUCCCCUUCUUAAUCAAUAUGGAGGCUACCCACUCCACAUUACCUUCUUUUUAAGGGCCUAUUUCCGUUGCCUCCAUAACUGUUGUGGGUAUUGACGGCCAGGCUUCUAAACCUCUUAAAACUCCCCAACUCUGGUGCCAACUUAGACAAUACUCUUUUAAGCACUCCUUUUUAGUUAUCCCCACCUGCCCAGUUCCCUUAUUAGGCUGAGACACUUUAACUAAAUUAUCUGCUUCCCUGACUAUUCCUGGACUACAGCUAUAUCUCAUUGCCGCCCUUCUUCCCAAUCCAAAGCCUCCUUUGCAUCCUCCUCUUGUAUCUCCCCAACUUAACCCACAAGUAUAAGAUACCUCUACUCCCUCCUUGGUGACCGAUCAUGCACCCCUUACCAUCUCAUUAAAACCUAAUCACCCUUACCCCACUCAACGCCAAUAUCCCAUCCCACAGCACGCUUUAAAAAGAUUAAAGCCUGUUAUCACUGGCCUGCUACAGCACAGCCUUUUAAAGCCUAUAAACUCUCCUUACAAUUCACCCAUUUUACCUGUCCUAAAACCAGACAAGCCUUACAACUUAGUUCAGGAUCUAUGCCUUAUCAACCAAAUUGUUUUGCCUAUCCACCCCGUGGUGCCAAAACCAUAUACUCUCCUAUCCUCAAUCCCUGCCUCUACAACCCAUUAUUCUGUUCUAGAUCUCAAACAUGCUUUCUUUACUAUUCCUUUGCACCCUUAAUCCCAGCCUCUCUUCGCUUUCACUUGGACUGACCCUGACACCCAUCAAGCUCAGCAAAUUACCUAGGCUGUACUGCCGCAAACCUUCACAGACAGCCCCCAUUAUUUCAAUCAAGCCCAAAUUUCUUCCUCAUCUGUUACCUAUCUUGGCAUAAUUCUCAUAAAAACACACAUGCUCUCCCUGCCAUUCUUGUCAGACUGAUCUCUCAAACCCCAGCACCUUCUACAAAACAACAACUCCCUUCCUUCCUAGGCAUAGUUGGUGCAGUCAGAAUUCUUACACAAGAGCCAGGACCGCACCCUGUAGCCUUUCUGUCCAAACAACUUGACCUUACUGUUUUAGCCUAGCCCUCAUGUCUGCGUGCAGCGGCUGCCGCUGCUUUAAUACCGUUAGAGGCCCUAAAAAUCACAAACUAUGCUCAACUCACUCUCUACAUUUCUCAUAACUCCCAAAAUCUAUUUUCUUCCUCAUACCUGAUGCAUAUACUUUCUGCUCCCUGGCUCCUUCAGCUGUACUCACUCUUUAAGUCCUACAAUUACCAUUGUUCCUGGCCCGGACUUCAAUAAGGCCUCUCACAUUAUUCCUGAUACCACACCUGACCCCCAUGACUGUAUCUCUCUGAUCCACCUGAUAUUCACCAUUUCCCCAUAUUUCCUUCUUUCCUGUUCCCCACCCUGAUCACGCUUGAUUUAUUGAUGGCAGUUCCACCAGGCCUAAUCGCCACACACAAGCAAAGGCAGGCUAUGCUGUAGUACAAGCCACUAGCCCGCCUCUCAGAACCUCUCAUUUCCUUUCCAUCCUGGAAAUCUAUCCUCAAGGAAAUAACUUCUCAGUGUUCCAUCUGCUAUUCUACUACUCCUCAGGGAUUAUUCAGGCCCCCUCCCUUCCCUACACAUCAAGCUUGAGGAUUUGCCCCCACCCAGGACUGGCAAAUUAGCUUUACUCAACAUUCCGGAGCCAGGAAACUAAAAUACCUCUUAGGCUGAAUAGACACUUUCACUGAAUAAGUAAAGGCCUUUCCUACAGGGUCUGAGAAGGCCACCGCAGUCAUUUCUUCCCUUCUGUCAGACAUAAUUCCUCAGUUUAGCCUUCCCACCUCUAUACAGUCUGAUAACAGACCAGCCUUUAUUAGUCAAAUCAGCCAAGCAGUUUUUCAGGCCCUUAGUAUUCAGUGAAACCUUUACAUCCUUUACGGUCCUCCGUCUUCAAGAAAAGUAGAAUGGACUAAAGGUCUUUUAAAAACACACCUCACCAAGCUCAGCCACCAACUUAAAAAGGACUGGACAAUACUUUUACCACUUUCGCUUCUCAGAAUUCAGGCCUGUCCUCAGAAUGUUACAGGAUACAGCCCAUUUAAGCUCCUGUAUAGAUGCUCCUUUUUAUUAGGCCCCAGUCUCAUUCAACACCAGACCAACUUAGACUGUGCCCCAAAAAAACUUGUCAUCCCUACUAUCUUCUGUCUAGUCAUACUCCUAUUCACCAUUCUCAACUACUCAUACAUGCCCUGCUCUUGUUUACACUGCCGGUUUACACUGUUUCUCCAAGCCAUCACAGCUGAUAUCUCCUGGUGCUAUCCCCAAACUGCCACUCUAAACUCUUGAAGUAAAUAAAUAAUCUUUGCUGGCAAGGCUAGGCUGAACCUCCUUGGGCACUCUCUAAUCAGAUGUCCUAGGUCCUCCCAAUUCUUAGACCUUUUAUACCUGUUUUUCUCCUUCUCUUAUUCCAUUUAGUUUUUCAAUUCAUACAAAACCGUAUCCAGGCCAUCACCAAUCAUUCUAUACGACAAAUGUUUCUUCUAACAACCCCACAGUAUCACCCCUUACCGCAAGAUCUUUCUUCAGCUUAAUCUCUCCCACUCUAGGUUCCCACACCGCCCCUAAUCCCACUCAAAGCACCCCUGAGAAACAUCGCCCAUUCUCUCUCCAUACCACCUGCAAAAAUUUUCGCCGCCCCAACACUUCAACACUAUUUUGUUUUAUUUUUCUUAUUAAUAAAAGAAGGCAGGAAUGUCGGGCCUCUGAGCCCAAGCCAAGCCAUCGCAUCCCCUGUGACUUGCAUGUAUAUGCCCAGAUGGCCUGAAGUAACUGAAGAAUCACAAAAGAAGUAAAAAGGCCCUGCCCUGCCUUAACAGAUGACAUUCCACCAUUGUGAUUUGUUCCUGCCCCACCUUAGCUGAGUGAUUAACCCUGUGAAUUUCCUUCUCCUGGCUCAGAAGCUCCCCGACUGAGCACCUUGUGACCCCCGCCCCUGCCCACCAGAGAACAACCCCCUUUGACUGUAAUUUUCCAUUACCUUCCCAAAUCCUAUAAAAUGGCCCCACCCCAUGUCCCUUCGCUGACUCUCUUUUUGGACUCAGCCCGCCUGCACCCAGGUGAAAUAGACAGCCAUGUUGCUCACACAAAGCCUGUUUGCUGGUCUCUUCACACGGACUCGAGUGAAAAUACACACGCACACACACACAAAUGGACAUUUACCCCACUCCUGCUUUUGUGCUAUUGUGGUCAUGCAUAGUAUUUCUUUUUUGCUGUUGUUUUUCUUGUUGUUUUCACUGUCAUACAGGUAUUUAUGAUGGAAACAGAAUCAGAGUCUGACCUUCCUGACUUGAAGUACAAGUGAUAGAUCACAACAAGAGAUCAUGAAGAGGGCAUGGCCGCCAUGUCAUUCUGGAGAGAGACAGAGUAAAACAAAGAAGACAGAGUCUUGUUCUGCAACCCAGGCUGGAGUGGAGGGCAGUGGUGUGAUCUCGGCUCACUUCAACCUCCGCCUCUUAGGUUCAAGUGAUUCUCCUGCCUCAGCCUCCCGAGUAGCUGGGACUACAGCAGCCUCUCUACAAGUCUCCUAACUUAACCUGAUGGGAAAACACUUCCUACCACUAACAGCAUCUACUUGAUUACUGAUACUUUGAUCAUGGAGUUUGGGCAUGCCACUUGAUAGAAAUUUGAAGAGCAAUUAUAUUUUUCAAAAAGAGUUUUGAAUAAUGUUAAGAUAGAUUGCAACAUGACUAUCAAUUCUUCCCUUCCCAUCAAAGGAGAGAGUCCGUUUAUCCAGCCUUUGAAUCUUGAUUAUUCAUGUGACUUGCUUCACCCAAUGUAACAUUAAUAAGCACAAUACAAGCAGAGGCUUGCCAAGAACUUGGUUUGUUUCUAAUGCUUAGAAGAAGAAUGGUGUAUGCCAUAUUUCUGCAUUUAGAACUCACGUGGAGACAUGUGUGGCCCAAUUGCUUCUCUUUCAUCUCAGGCAAUAACCAGACACGGGACUGAGGCCAUCCAUGACCAGCCAGCCCUAGCCAACACACAACACACAAGCUGAUCACAGAUGCAUGAGUAAGCCUGAGACCAGCCAAGACCAGCCUAGAAUAGAACUGCUCAGCAGCAAUAAAAACUAAAUAAAUUGUUACCUUAAGCUACUUUUAGAGCUAUUUGGAAGUGUAUUUUUGUGCAGCUAACAUUUACUAGCAGAUAAAAUGGUGAUUGUUUAUCUCUGUUUUAUUGAUGUUUUAAGGAAAUUGUUUCUAUUAAAAGGAAAUAUCUGGUCUUUGUCACGUUAAAUCAGGUUUAGCCUGAAGUUGUCUCCUUAAAUUUGCGGCACAACUCCCACCCUGCAAUACUUCAAAUUGUUUCACCUUUUUUGACAGAACCAAGGUAUAUCUUAAAUGUACUUGAUUGAUGUCUCAUGUCUCCCUAAAAUGUAUAAAACCAAACUGUGCUCUGACUACCUUGGGUACAUGUUCUGAGGGUCUCCUGAAGGCUGUGUCACAGGCCAUGGUCUUUCAUAUUUGGCUUAAAACAAAUCUCUUCAAAUAUUUUAUGUAGUUUGACUCUUUUCCUCAAUAGAACUCAUCAUUUAACCAGUUAAGUAUUUUGAGUUAGUUUGGGAUUAAACACGAGAGUUUUGACAGGGAGCUGAAACAAUAGUAGUUUCAUCAAAAGUUGAUUCUUGGUGCAUGUAAUUUUCUAUUACAGUGAACACAGAUAAUAAUGAUGCAUAUGUCUUUACCUAGAUUAGAGAAAGGAAGAGAAAAAAUAAAAAUUUUGGAAAUGAGAUAAAAAGAUAUUGAUCUCACUGAUGUUUCUGAAUCUAAGACUGAACUCAAUUAUUAGUUGUAUUUACUGCUUAUUAGAUUUACUAAGAAAGUUCUUUAAGGUACUUACAGCCCUAAAAUUAUUUGCAAUAUUCAAUAGCAAGGGACUUAAAUACAGUCCUGAUUACUCCAUCACAAAAUGCCAAAAACAAUUAGGAUCUUAAAGGAACUACCCAAAUAGGUUUAAGAUAUCACUCAGGCCAUAAAAAUGUUUUUAAAAUUCACAUCACAAAAUAGCCAAAUGACAUAUCAGAAACAAAAGCAAAAAAGUCAUCCUAAUUCAAGGCAAUUACUUUAGCAAUUCAAAAUAAAAUGUUAAAAGUGACCAAAAAACAAAUGCAAAAUAUUUUAAUGACUUUAAAUGGCUGUAUAAUUUCCUCAUCACUUCACUUGGCAGAGUUAAGAUGGCAUUUAACCUAAGUUCACAUCAUUAAAAAAAACACUGCACCAUGAUGCUUUUCUUAAUAUGCAUUCUCAAAUUAGCAUACAGAGAAAAAUGAAACUAUAGUAGAGACGUAAAUUUAAUCCCUAUUUAGGUCACUAGGCAUUUAUUAGCCCCACCACAGGUUAAUACACUUGCAUUUGCAUCUGUUUCUAAAUGCUAAUUAUCUGACCUCAGAACACUCACUUAUGGGCUUCAUUUAUUGAAAAACAAAUCCCUAUGAUUUGAUCGUAGAGUAACUUUUAAUGUCUAACUUUACGUAGUAUAUUACAGUUUUCAAAACAUUUUUAUAAAAAGUAUUUUGUUUAUUUACAGCAACUAUAUAUCAUAGAUAUUAAUGUGUAUAUUUUGCAUUUAAGCAAGUUGGAGUUCGUAAGGUUGAAUUACUUGAAAUGUACAAAUAGAUAGUAGUGAAUAUUUAAAGUACAUUUUUAAAAAUAUGACCCAGAAAAAUAGGUGGCAUUUAAGAAAUAUAAGCAUGGUAUCUAUCUUACAUGUAUAUUAGGAGUGGACAGUUUUCUAAGAUUAGAAGCAAACAGUUGUCAAGCAAGGGUUCUAAUUUUUGUAAGUCUUGUGGGAAAGAAAGAUAAUAGAGGGUUUCAUUGCAAAGAUAUAAAACUACUCUAGAUAAUUUAAGCAAAAACUAAUCUAAUAAAUUGGGUUUUCCAAAUUAUUGAAACACCUUGAGAACUAGUGCCUGGGUAGGCCUGGAGAAAUGACUCCAGGAACAGCAUUACAGAACUCACCUGCCCAGUGGUAACAGUGCCCAGAUUGCUCUUCUCCAUUAUCCAGCCAGAGUUCCAGAUCAGCCUGAAUACUUCACCUCUGGGAAGACUUUGCAGAACCUCCAGAUUUAUGCCACCUCUAUAACCUGUGUAAUAUUAUUACAAUGCAUAUUAUGUUCUAUUUCACUUACAGUCAGCCCUCCUUAUCUGUGGGUUCCACAAACAUGGAUUCAACCCACAGUAAAAUGAAAAUAUUUGGGGAAAAAAUUAAUGUUUGAGUCUGUAUUGAACACGUAGACUUUUUCUUGUCACUGUUCCCUAAACAAUACAGUAUAACAACUAUUUACAUAGUAUUUACAUUAUAUUGGGCAUUAUAAGUAAUUAAAGAUGAUUUAAGUAUAUGGAAAGAUGUAUAUAGGUUAUAUGCAAGUACUGUGCCAUUUUAUAUAAAGCACUUGAACAUCACAGAUUUUGGUAUCAAUGAGGGGUGCUGAAACCAAUUGCCCAUGGAUACCAAGAGACAGCUAUAUUUGUUUCAAUGUGUACCUCUCCUUCUAAACUCAGUUCUUAAGCAUAUAGUAUCUUUAUAGCUAUACACCUAGUGUCUAUCAGACCCUAAACUAUGGUAGGCCCUCAAUACAUUUUAUUGUUAUAGGUAGAUAGAUAGGCAUGAGUAGGGCAGGAGAGGGCUCUCCCUCCACCCACUAGAAAUGUCAAGUGAUGUUUUAAAAAUUGUCACACUGCCUCUCAGAAAAUGAUAAUUCAGCAACCGGGGAGAGACAAUCUUCUGAUGGUCCACACCUAUUAACAUUAAAGUGUUAUUAAAGGCAGACCCCAGAAAGAAGAAACUUACUGGGCAUGCACAUUAAGAGAUAAAAACGGCAAAAUAUUAUCUUCCACGUACCCACAACUGGAAAAAAGGAAGAAAGCUUCAGGUGGGCAUAUGUACUCUUCCUAAACACACUGCGCAUGCUCACUUCCCAACUGUAGAGAGGGCUCUGCACAUACGGGAAGAAUCUCGGGAAAGAGGUGAACCUAUAAAAGGCCAAGAAUCAUGGUUGAACGGGACAUUUGACCUUCUCUCUUAAACCUUCAUGUGCCUGCUUGGGUCUCUUCCAACUGCACCUUCCUUUCUUUCCUGUUCUAAGGCCUUUUUAAAUAAACUUCCACUCAUGCUCUG
rnacentral:lncRNA from 10 species